rnacentral:rRNA from 1 species
ACCAGACUCCUACGGGAGGCAGCAGUGGGGAAUAUUGCACAAUGGGGGAAACCCUGAUGCAGCGACGCCGCGUGAGCGAGGAAGUAUUUCGGUAUGUAAAGCUCUGUCAGCAGGGAAGAAGAAUGACGGUACCUGAAGAAGAAGCACCGGCUAAAUACGUGCCAGCAGCCGCGGUAAUACGUAUGGUGCAAGCGUUAUCCGGAUUUACUGGGUGUAAAGGGAGCGCAGGCGGUUCUGCAAGUCUGAUGUGAAAGCCCGGGGCUCAACCGCGGGACUGCAUUGGAAACUGCGGGACUGGAGUGUCGGAGGGGUAAGCGGAAUUCCUGGUGUAGCGGUGAAAUGCGUAGAUAUCAGGAGGAACACCGGUGGCGAAGGCGGCUUACUGGACGAUGACUGACGCUGAGGCUCGAAAGCGUGGGGAGCAAACAGGAUUAGAUACCCGAGUA